UCCUUCUGUUAAGGGGAGUAGCUAUACAAUAAAGUCGUCAGUACAGGAUUGAAUCCUCGGCUUUAUUGGCAACUGAUUUUAGUUGUUUGCAAGACCUUGCCGAUUAUU
rnacentral:misc_RNA from 1 species